UACGUAGGCAGCAAGCGUUGUUCGGAGUUACUGGGCGUAAAGGGUGUGUAGGCGGCCUGUUAAGUUCCGUGUGAAAUCUCCCGGCUCAACCGGGAGGGUGCGCGGAAAACUGGCGGGCUAGAGUGCGGGACGGGAGAGUAGAAUUCCUGGUGUAGCGGUGGAAUGCGCAGAUAUCAGGAGGAACACCUAUAGCGAAGGCAGCUUGCUGGGACGUUACUGACGCUAAGGCGCGAAAGCGUGGGGAGCGAACAGG
rnacentral:rRNA from 1 species